AGCAGCGGAGAAAAGAUGUACAUGACGCGAGACCAGUCAAUACGCGAUCUGCGACCCUUGCGCCUCGUGGAGUCGCGGGAGUUUGCGAUCCAAGAUGGCCGACCUUCUGCGCAUGCGCCUCACAAUGCGCAAUUUAUUUGGGGUAUGGAGUCGAAGAAAGCAGAGGCCACUUACAAUCAGCGUGAGGUAUUGGCAGGUUAGCAUUACGUUAGUCGUUUGCUGAUCCACGAAGAAAAGACAAAACAGCCCAUACGGUCUUUUGGGUUGCAACUGGCGUCGCCUUCGCCCUCCGCGGCUACAUAUGUUGGGCAUCCAUGAUGUCCAAAUAUUUGGCCUCAAUGAUGUGAGGGAGCACCCUGUUCCUACACACGCAAGAAGAAACAUAAGUAUGUGAUACACUUCUACAGGUCGGUCGGUUCGAGGGCGUCACCUGAGGGGGAUGAGCAGGAUCAUGACCAAGGGGAAGAUCAUCUUCAUGUAGGGGAUGGGGUACAUGCCGAACGUGCACAGCACCAGCAGCUGCAUCAUCUGCAGGAAGGUGAAGUAGUGGAUCUUCCUUUGGGGCACUUUACGGAUGUAGUGGGUGGGCGGGUACGACGUCUGCGGCAAAGGGGGAAAACACGUCAGGACCCAUCUGGAAAAUUAAGUUCCCUCCGCUUGUCCUCCUCCGGCCAUCCGGAAAGGAACUACCGUUUUUUUCCAUGUAUAAUGCGCCCCCAUGUAUAAUACGCACCCUAAAAAUGGCAUGUUGAUGUUGGAAAAAAGCCUGUACCCAUGUAUAAUACGCACCCAAAUUUUGACUCCUACUUAAGUCCGUAAACGUAAAAUUAUUUCAGAAAAAAGAUCAUCUUUGGGAACAACCGGAUGUUAUUCUGCCGGUCAGUAUCACUGCGCAUGCGCGAGCAAACUCAAUAGCGGAGAAAUGUUUUGGAUUUGUGUAGGGUACAUUGUGACAGCAAAAGAGCAGGUGAUCGAGCAAAAGAAGAAAGCGCAUCUGUAAUGGCGGCCUCCGUAUGAUGUCCGGAUAAUAAAAAAAAAAAAAACUUUGUACCCAUGUAUAAUACGCACCCCAGAUUUUAGGACAAUAAAUUAGUUACAUUUUGCGCAUUAUACAUGGGAAAAAACGGUACUUGAGUAAAAUGAAAAGGGCCGGCCACGCCACAGGAUCCCCUUCGACGCUCCUCACCUGCUCCUUGAGCAGCAGGGCCAUGCGGUCGCACAUCUGGUUGCCGUCGAUGGAGGUGAGCGCGAUGUAGAGGAAGAGCCCGAACAGAACCGGCUUGGGGAUCCACUGCAGCGGCAGAGGCAGCAAGAAGACCGA